rnacentral:rRNA from 1 species
GCCCAGACUCCUACGGGAGGCAGCAGUGGGGCCUCUUGCACAAUGGGCGCCAGCCUGAUGCCGCCAUGCCGCGUGUCUGAAGAAGGCCUUCGGGUUGUAACGAACUUUCAGCGGGGCGGACGGCGAUACGGUUAAUAACCUUGUUGAUUGACGUUACCCGCAGAAGAAGAACCGGCUAAAUCCGUGCCAGCAGCCGCGGUAAUACGGAGGGUGCAAGCGUUAAUCGGAAUUACUGGGCGUAAAGCGCACGCAGGCGGUCGUUCAGGUCGGAGGUGAAAUCCCCGGGCUCAGCGUGGGAACUGCAUUCGAAACUGGCAGGCUGGAGUCUUGUAGAGGGGGGUAGAAUUCCAGGUGUAGCGGUGAAAUGCGUAGAGAUCUGGAGGAAUACCG